GCCGUUGGGAGACUUGAUCUCUUAGUGGCGCAGUUAACGCGAUAAGUAGACCGCCUGGGGAGUACGGCCGCAAGGUUAAAACUCAAAUGAAUUGACGGGGGCCCGCACAAGCGGUGGAGCAUGUGGUUUAAUUCGACGCAACGCGAAGAACCUUACCAGGUCUUGACAUCCUAGAAACUUAGCAGAGAUGCUUUGGUGCCUUCGGGAAUCUAGUGACAGGUGCUGCAUGGCUGUCGUCAGCUCGUGUCGUGAGAUGUUGGGUUAAGUCCCGUAACGAGCGCAACCCUUGUCCUUAGUUGCCAGCACGUAAUGGUGGGAACUCUAAGGAGACUGCCGGUGACAAACCGGAGGAAGGUGGGGACGACGUCAAGUCAUCAUGGCCCUUACGACCUGGGCUACACACGUGCUACAAUGGCCAGUACAGAGGGCUGCAAGCCCGCGAGGGGGAGCUAAUCUCACAAAGCUGGUCGUAGUCCGGAUCGCAGUCUGCAACUCGACUGCGUGAAGUUGGAAUCGCUAGUAAUCGUGAAUCAGAACGUCACGGUGAAUACGUUCCCGGGCCUUGUACACACCGCCCGUCACACCAUGGGAGUAGGUUGCAAAAGAAGUAGCUAGGCUAACCUUCGGGGGGCCGGUUACCACUUUGUGAUUUAUGACUGGGGUG
rnacentral:rRNA from 1 species